GGCAGUUGGAGCUCCCUUUGUCCAUUCUAUGCCUGUUCUAUGGAUAAACAAAAGUUUUCAGUUUCCAGGGCUUUGAAAGGCACUUGACUCACCUCACUACAUUCACUGGAGAAAAUUGAACAUUCCAGGGCGAGGGAAUACAAGGGGCUCCAGCUGCCUCAGCUCCUUCCCCAAUGAUCCCAGUUCUUUGCUAAAUAGGACUUCGAGGCAGAGAGGAAAGGUGGAUGGGGAGAGUGAUUACACAGAAUCCUUCUUGAAGAACUUCGGUUACUAGGACAUGAUAUGCUGAGAUUGCUGUGAGAUGAAACUUGACUGAUGACAAAGAGAGACCUGCUCUUUUAAGAUAUGUAAGAAUUGGAGUUCUAUAUGGAUCAACUUCAUACAUGGAAACCCACAAUAAAAAUU